rnacentral:sRNA from 1 species
ACCUGAAAUGACGUUGUUGGUUUUUGGGACGUUGG